rnacentral:rRNA from 1 species
ACUCAAAUGAAUAGACGGGGGCCCGCACAAGCAGCGGAGCAUGUGGUUUAAUUCGAAGCAACGCGAAGAACCUUACCAGGACUUGACAUCGUCUGCACACCGUAGAGAUACGGUCUUCCCUUCGGGGACAGAUAGACAGGUGGUGCAUGGUUGUCGUCAGCUCGUGUCGUGAGAUGUUGGGUUAAGUCCCGCAACGAGCGCAACCCUUAUUUUUAGUUGCCAGCAUUUAAGGUGGGCACUCUAAAGAGACUGCCGAUAAGAAAUCGGAGGAAGGUGGGGAUGACGUCAAAUCAUCAUGCCCCUUAUGUCCUGGGCUACACACGUGCUACAAUGGUUUGUACAAAGGGAAGCGAAAGAGUGAUCUAGAGCUAAUCCCACAAAGCAGACCUCAGUUCGGAUUGCAGGCUGCAACUCGCCUGCAUGAAGUCGGAGUUGCUAGUAAUCGCGGAUCAGAAUGCCGCGGUGAAUGCGUUCCCGGGCCUUGUACACACCGCCCGU